GACGAACGCUGGCGGCGUGCUUAACACAUGCAAGUCGAGCGGAAAGGCCCUUCGGGGUACUCUAGCGGCGAACGGGUGAGUAACACGUGAGUAACCUGCCCCAGACUUUGGGAUAACCCUCGGAAACGGGGGCUAAUACCGGAUACGACACAGCUUCGCAUGGCGUCUGUGUGGAAAGUUUUUCGGUUUGGGAUGGGCUCGCGGCCUAUCAGCUUGUUGGUGGGGUGAUGGCCUACCAAGGCGACGACGGGUAGCCGGCCUGAGAGGGCGACCGGCCACACUGGGACUGAGACACGGCCCAGACUGCUACGGGAGGCAGAAGGGGGGAAUAUUGCACAAUGGGCGGAAGCCUGAUGCAGCGACGCCGCGUGAGGGAUGAAGGCCUUCGGGUUGUAAACCUCUUUCAGCAGGGACGAAGCGUAAGUGACGGUACCUGCAGAAGAAGCGCCGGCCAACUACGUG
rnacentral:rRNA from 1 species